AGCCCUCACUUGGAUUCGAACCAAGAACCAUCCGCUUUGCAGGCGUAUGCUCUUCCAUUGAGCUAUAAAGGC
rnacentral:tRNA from 1 species